rnacentral:rRNA from 1 species
CGGUUAAGUUAGAAAGGGCGCACGGUGGAUGCCUUGGCACUAGGAGCCGAUGAAGGACGGGACGAACACCGAUAUGCUUCGGGGAGCUGUAAGCAAGCUUUGAUCCGGAGAUUUCCGAAUGGGGAAACCCACCACUCGUAAUGGAGUGGUAUCCAUAUCUGAAUACAUAGGAUAUGAGAAGGCAGACCCGGGGAACUGAAACAUCUAAGUACCCGGAGGAAGAGAAAGCAAAUGCGAUUCCCUGAGUAGCGGCGAGCGAAACGGGACCAGCCCAAACCAAGAGGCUUGCCUCUUGGGGUUGUAGGACACUCUGUACGGAGUUACAAAGGAACGAGGUAGAUGAAGAGGUCUGGAAAGGCCCGCCACAGAAGGUAACAGCCCUGUAGUCAAAACUUCGUUCUCUCCUGAGUGGAUCCUGAGUACGGCGGAACACGUGAAAUUCCGUCGGAAUCCGGGAGGACCAUCUCCCAAGGCUAAAUACUCCCUAGUGACCGAUAGUGAACCAGUACCGUGAGGGAAAGGUGAAAAGCACCCCGGAAGGGGAGUGAAAGAGAUCCUGAAACCGUGUGCCUACAAGUAGUCAGAGCCCGUUAACGGGUGAUGGCGUGCCUUUUGUAGAAUGAACCGGCGAGUUACGAUCCCGUGCAAGGUUAAGCAGAAGAUGCGGAGCCGCAGCGAAAGCGAGUCUGAAUAGGGCGAAUUGAGUACGUGGUCGUAGACCCGAAACCAGGUGAUCUACCCAUGUCCAGGGUGAAGUUCAGGUAACACUGAAUGGAGGCCCGAACCCACGCACGUUGAAAAGUGCGGGGAUGAGGUGUGGGUAGGGGUGAAAUGCCAAUCGAACCUGGAGAUAGCUGGUUCUCUCCGAAAUAGCUUUAGGGCUAGCCUCAAGGUAAGAGUCUCGGAGGUAGAGCACUGAUUGGACUAGGGGCCCCUACCGGGUUACCGAAUUCAGUCAAACUCCGAAUGCCGAUGACUUAUCCUUGGGAGUCAGACUGCGAGUGAUAAGAUCCGUAGUCGAAAGGGAAACAGCCCAGACCGCCAGCUAAGGUCCCAAAGUAUACGUUAAGUGGAAAAGGAUGUGGAGUUGCUUAGACAACCAGGAUGUUGGCUUAGAAGCAGCCACCAUUUAAAGAGUGCGUAAUAGCUCACUGGUCGAGUGACUCUGCGCCGAAAAUGUACCGGGGCUAAACGUAUCACCGAAGCUGCGGACUGUUCUUCGAACAGUGGUAGGAGAGCGUUCUAAGGGCUGUGAAGCAAGACCGGAAGGACUUGUGGAGCGCUUAGAAGUGAGAAUGCCGGUAUGAGUAGCGAAAGAGGGGUGAGAAUCCCCUCCACCGAAUGCCUAAGGUUUCCUGAGGAAGGCUCGUCCGCUCAGGGUUAGUCGGGACCUAAGCCGAGGCCGAAAGGCGUAGGCGAUGGAUAACAGGUUGAUAUUCCUGUACCACCUCCUCACCAUUUGAGCAAUGGGGGGACGCAGGAGGAUAGGGUAAGCGCGGUAUUGGAUAUCCGCGUCCAAGCAGUUAGGCUGGGAAAUAGGCAAAUCCGUUUCCCGUGAAGGCUGAGCUGUGAUGGCGAGCGAAUUAUAGUAGCGAAGUUCCUGAUUCCACACUGCCAAGAAAAGCCUCUAGCGAGGUGAGAGGUGCCCGUACCGCAAACCGACACAGGUAGGCGAGGAGAGAAUCCUAAGGUGAUCGAGAGAACUCUCGUUAAGGAACUCGGCAAAAUGACCCCGUAACUUCGGGAGAAGGGGUGCUCUGUUAGGGUGCAAGCCCGAGAGAGCCGCAGUGAAUAGGCCCAGGCGACUGUUUAGCAAAAACACAGGUCUCUGCGAAGCCGUAAGGCGAAGUAUAGGGGCUGACGCCUGCCCGGUGCUGGAAGGUUAAGAGGAGCGCUUAGCGUAAGCGAAGGUGCGAAUUGAAGCCCCAGUAAACGGCGGCCGUAACUAUAACGGUCCUAAGGUAGCGAAAUUCCUUGUCGGGUAAGUUCCGACCCGCACGAAAGGCGCAACGAUCUGGGCACUGUCUCAACGAGAGACUCGGUGAAAUUAUAGUACCUGUGAAGAUGCAGGUUACCCGCGACAGGACGGAAAGACCCCGUGGAGCUUUACUGCAGCCUGAUAUUGAAUGUUGGUACAGCUUGUACAGGAUAGGUAGGAGCCUUGGAAACCGGAGCGCCAGCUUCGGUGGAGGCAUCGGUGGGAUACUACCCUGGCUGUAUUGACCUUCUAACCCGCCGCCCUUAUCGGGCGGGGAGACAGUGUCAGGUGGGCAGUUUGACUGGGGCGGUCGCCUCCUAAAAGGUAACGGAGGCGCCCAAAGGUUCCCUCAGAAUGGUUGGAAAUCAUUCGCAGAGUGUAAAGGCACAAGGGAGCUUGACUGCGAGACCUACAAGUCGAGCAGGGACGAAAGUCGGGCUUAGUGAUCCGGUGGUUCCGCAUGGAAGGGCCAUCGCUCAACGGAUAAAAGCUACCCCGGGGAUAACAGGCUUAUCUCCCCCAAGAGUCCACAUCGACGGGGAGGUUUGGCACCUCGAUGUCGGCUCAUCGCAUCCUGGGGCUGUAGUCGGUCCCAAGGGUUGGGCUGUUCGCCCAUUAAAGCGGUACGCGAGCUGGGUUCAGAACGUCGUGAGACAGUUCGGUCCCUAUCCGUCGCGGGCGCAGGAAAUUUGAGAGGAGCUGUCCUUAGUACGAGAGGACCGGGAUGGACGCACCGCUGGUGUACCAGUUGUUCUGCCAAGGGCAUCGCUGGGUAGCUAUGUGCGGACGGGAUAAGUGCUGAAAGCAUCUAAGCAUGAAGCCCCCCUCAAGAUGAGAUUUCCCAUUCCGCAAGGAAGUAAGAUCCCUGAAAGAUGAUCAGGUUGAUAGGUCUGAGGUGGAAGUGUGGCGACACAUGGAGCUGACAGAUACUAAUCGAUCGAGGACUUAACCAAUUU